GACGGAGGAUGCAAGCGUUAUCCGGAAUGAUUGGGCGUAAAGCGUCCGCAGGUGGCAGUUCAAGUCUGCUGUCAAAGACCGGGGCUUAACUUCGGAAAGGCAGUGGAAACUGAACAGCUAGAGUAUGGUAGGGGCAGAGGGAAUUCCUGGUGUAGCGGUGAAAUGCGUAGAGAUCAGGAAGAACAUCGGUGGCGAAGGCGCUCUGCUGGACCAUAACUGACGCUCAGGCGCGACAGCGUGGGGAUCAAACAGG
rnacentral:rRNA from 1 species